UACAGGGGGUGCAAACGUUGCUCGGAAUCAUUGGGCGUAAAGCGCACGUAGGCGGUUCGUUAUGUCGGAUGUGAAAGCCCUUGGCUUAACCGAGGAAGUGCAUCCGAAACUGGCGAGCUAGAGUACUAAAGAGGAUCGCGGAAUUCCCGGUGUAGAGGUGAAAUUCGUAGAUAUCGGGAGGAACACCGGUGGCGAAGGCGGCUCACUGGCUCAUUACUGAGCUCAGGCGCGACAGCGUGGGGAUCAAACAGG
rnacentral:rRNA from 1 species